rnacentral:rRNA from 1 species
UACAGGGGGUGCAAACGUUGCUCGGAAUUAUUGGGCGUAAAGCGCGCGUAGGCGGCUACUUAAGUCGGAUGUGAAAGCCCCUGGCUCAACUGGGGAAGUGCACCCGAAACUGAGUGGCUUGAGUACUAAAGAGGGUCGCGGAAUUCCCGGUGUAGAGGUGAAAUUCGUAGAUAUCGGGAGGACGGAUAAAGGUGAAAACAAACCUCUAUGUAUAAACAGACGUUGAGGGACGAAGGCAUUGUGUAACGAACAGG